rnacentral:lncRNA from 1 species
GGUACUUUUUGAGUACCGUCUCGUGAUUUAAAAGGUUUCUUUUUGAUCGUAAAAGAAAGAUAAUUAAUCUAUUGUAAUAAUAUAGAUCGGAUAAGUCUAAUAGAAUACUAUUUUUUUUUAAGUGUUAAAGAGAGAAAUUAUCACUUAACCUCUUUUGGAGAGAGAAUUAUCAUGGGAGAUAAUGGUAGGUAUAGAAGGCAUGAAUUUGAAGAUAAGACAGAAAAAAAAAAAAGGGAAAGA